GGAUGCUAUCAUACCAGCACUAAAGCACCAGAUCCUAUCAGAACUCCGAAGUUAAGCGUGCUUGGGCGAGAGUAGUACUAGGAUGGGUGACCUCCUGGGAAGUCCUCGUGUUGCAUUCC
rnacentral:rRNA from 1 species